AACGAACGCUGCCGGCAGGCUUAACACAUGCAAGUCGAGCGCCCCGCAAGGGGAGCGGCAGACGGGUGAGUAACGCGUGGGAAUCUACCCAUCCCUACGGAACAACUCCGGGAAACUGGAGCUAAUACCGUAUACGCCCUUCGGGGGAAAGAUUUAUCGGGGAUGGAUGAGCCCGCGUUGGAUUAGCUAGUUGGUGGGGUAAUGGCCUACCAAGGCGACGAUCCAUAGCUGGUCUGAGAGGAUGAUCAGCCACACUGGGACUGAGACACGGCCCAGACUCCUACGGGAGGCAGCAGUGGGGAAUAUUGGACAAUGGGCGCAAGCCUGAUCCAGCAAUGCCGCGUGAGUGAUGAAGGCCUUAGGGUUGUAAAGCUCUUUCGCACGCGACGAUGAUGACGGUAGCGUGAGAAGAAGCCCCGGCUAACUUCGUGCCAGCCGCCGCAGUAAGAC
rnacentral:rRNA from 1 species